GCGCGCCCGACCUGGACGUCCGCCGAGCUGCAGCGACUCCGGGGCAUCCCCGGCCUCGGUCCUGCACGCCCUGCACCCUGUGGUUCCCCGCCUUCCAGGAACCUGUGGAGUUUGUUCUGGUGCUGUGCCUGUCAGGGAGAUGAUGUCCGGUGCCCUUCAGACUGCAGUGGAAGCCUCAGUGACUGGACGUCUGCAGCCGGAUGUUGGGAACAGCCCUGGCGGACCACACAGAGAUCCGGCAGUAGGCAGGCUGCCUCGCAACAGGACCUGGGGGCCUUGCCAACUGCACAUAGCCAAAGGCAGUCCUGGGUAUCUGCCAUGAAGUCUAUCCACUUAUCUGCCAGAAAAUUCUCAGCUAUCACCUUUAUGUUGUGACCUUAAGGAACACUGGGGCUGUGUAUCCUAAAGAAGGCACAAACUCUAUCCAAUAUGAAGGUCAGAAUCUACGUCGAUUAGGAGGGAGAAGUUUGCAGAGAAAGGAAAGUGGAUCCUCUACAGACCUUUCUCCUCCUGAUGGGAGAUUUCUGUUGAGCAGUGACUUUCUGGCAAUCAUGCAGGGUUAAGAAAGGUGAGUGCUAUUAAGGCCUAUUUAGUAGAGGGAGAAUUUUUGAAGCAAUUGGACCUUUCUGGAUCCCUUCAAUUCAUACAAUAUGUAUGUAUUUUUUAAAAAUAUAUAAGUACUUAUUAUUAGGGCCAUUCAUACACAAAGGGACUUGAUUGUGGCAAACUUAUUCUUGGUUUUUUUGUCCAAUUUCAAAUGCAAAUGUCUGUUGGCUCAGCAGAUCAACUUUGCAGAGACUCAGCUCAGUUACUGGCAUGCCCAAAAUGUCAGAAUGGUCAAGCAGUGACUCAGUUUCCCUCUGUAAAGUAGGGAAUUCAUAAGGCAGGAAUUGAAUACACCUAAGAUAUUGCUUGUAUCCAUAAACUCCUAAGAAGAUACAA
ensembl:lncRNA